AUUGAACGCUGGCGGCAUGCUUUACACAUGCAAGUCGAACGGUAACAGGGAGCUUGCUCCGCUGACGAGUGGCGAACGGGUGAGUAAUGCAUCGGAACGUACCCAGUCGUGGGGGAUAACGUAGCGAAAGUUACGCUAAUACCGCAUACGUCCUGAGGGAGAAAGCGGGGGACCGUAAGGCCUCGCGCGAUUGGAGCGGCCGAUGUCGGAUUAGCUAGUUGGUAGGGUAAAGGCCUACCAAGGCGACGAUCCGUAGCGGGUCUGAGAGGAUGAUCCGCCACACUGGGACUGAGACACGGUCCAGACUCCUACGGGAGGCAGCAGUGGGGAAUUUUGGACAAUGGGCGCAAGCCUGAUCCAGCCAUGCCGCGUGCGGGACGAAGGCC
rnacentral:rRNA from 1 species